GAUGAACGCUGGCGGCGUGCCUAACACAUGCAAGUCGAACGAAGCACUGCAGACGGAGAUUCGUCGAAGCCUGCUUUGACUUAGUGGCGGACGGGUGAGUAAUGCGUGAGCAACCUGCCUUUCAGAGGGGGACAACAGUUGGAACGACUGCUAAUACCGCAUGAUGUAUUUUGGGGGUCGAUCCCUGAGAUACCAAAGGAGCAAUCCGCUGAAGAUGGGCUCACGUCUGAUUAGCUAGUUGGUGAGGUAACGGCUCACCAAGGCUGCGAUCAGUAGCCGGACUGAGAGGUUGAACGGCCACAUUGGGACUGAGAUACGGGCCCAGACUCCUACGGGGAGGCAGCAGUGGGGAAGUAUUGCACAAUGGGGGGAAACCCUAGAUGCAGCAACGCCGCGUGAGUGAUGACGGUCUUUCGGAUUGUAAGACUCUGUCUUAGGGUACGAUAAU
rnacentral:rRNA from 1 species